UGCUGUAUUUCCUUCUAAGACUCGGUCUCUUCAUGAAGCAUUUUUGAGGCUCUCUUCCUGUUAGUAACCACAUGGGAAAUGCCUUCCUAGAAGUGCCAUUCAACACCUUUAAGGUGGAAAUGUUUUAGGCCUUUGAAGGUGUACAAGUACUUUACAAGCAGCUGGAUCAUGUAAGAUACCAGGAGGGUGAAGUGACUUAGCCAAGGUCUCAGCAAACCUGCAGCAAAGUCCAGCUCUUCUGCUGCCAGCCUGCAAGAUCACGUGUGACUCUGAGGAGUCAUUCAUAUUCUGAUUUGCCAUCAGAAUGUCUUCUACAGAGACAGGCAAAGAGAGAACAAGCAAUACCAGCUCGGGGAAGGCCAUGUGCGAGAAGCGAUUCCUGUGGGCUGCAAGAAAUCCUGCGAGGAGGCAGAGGAGGCAGGAGCUGAGGAAAGAAAGGAUGAGCUGGAAGCAAACAAGAACCCGGGGCCCUUCAUCAGAGACGGAGGUGCUGGCGACCGCCUCCUGCCCGGUGCCCCUUGGGGACAGCGCUGCUGCCAGUGCGCCAGCGCGGGGCUACCCAGGAGCAGCAAACUUGGCCCGUGGUGGGGUUUCGAUGUUGCAGCCAGGCAGCCUGACCCCCAAGCAGCAAGGUAACAGACGUGGUUAUUAUAGCUGCCAGGGUCGCAAUUCAGAGGAGCUGAUGUCCUCUGGACGCUUUGGGCCUGUGAUAUUAAUAAAAAAAAAAAAAAAAAGCCCAAGUGAAUUAGGUCCCUGAAGACUCAACACUAAAUCACUGCCCUAGUCUCACCCUGAAGCUUUCAUCUCGUUUUAGCAGCCAGGAGAUGACUCCUUGCUGAGCCUGCUUUGGCACUUCAGUGUUGAGGGUUUCAGAGGCCGCAAAGUUUCCAGCCAUGCUGCCUCUGCUCCAGGGUGAAGCAAAGCCUCGGGACGGCUGCAUUUCUCAGCUGCUCAGACUGCUCCUACAAAAGCCAGCCCCAGGUUGGGCUGUAAAUAAGCUGAGGUGUAGCUGGAGUUUGCCACCRACUUUUGCUGAAAGGGGGAGGAGGACAGCACAAGCUCUAUUUGGCACCAGGCCUGCCUGAACAUCAGGUUUUCUGUUGCUUUUAACACAGCCUGUGUCAGAAAAUGACUCUGACGUGGGAC
rnacentral:lncRNA from 1 species